UGGGGAAUAUUGGACAAUGGGGGCAACCCUGAUCCAGCAAUGCCGCGUGAGUGAUGAAGGCCUUCGGGUUGUAAAGCUCUUUCGCCCACGACGAUGAUGACGGUAGUGGGAGAAGAAGCCCCGGCUAACUUCGUGCCAGCAGCCGCGGUAAUACGAAGGGGGCUAGCGUUGUUCGGAGUUACUGGGCGUAAAGGGCGCGUAGGCGGCUGUCCAAGUCAGGUGUGAAAGCCCGGGGCUCAACCCCGGAAAUGCACUUGAGACUGGGCGGCUUGAGGACGGGAGAGGAUAGUGGAAUUCCCAGUGUAGAGGUGAAAUUCGUAGAUAUUGGGAAGAACACCGGUGGCGAAGGCGGCUAUCUGGACCGUUUCUGACGCUGAGGCGCGAAAGCGUGGGGAGCAAACAGGAUUAGAUACCCCCGUAGUCC
rnacentral:rRNA from 1 species